rnacentral:rRNA from 1 species
AGUGAACGCUGGCGGUAGGCCUAACACAUGCAAGUCGAACGGCACCACAGUAAGAGCUUGCUCUUACGGGUGGCGAGUGGCGGACGGGUGAGGAAUACAUCGGAAUCUACUUUUUCGUGGGGGAUAACGUAGGGAAACUUACGCUAAUACCGCAUACGACCUACGGGUGAAAGCAGGGGAUCUUCGGACCUUGCGCGAUUGAAUGAGCCGAGGUCGGAUUAGCUAGUUGGCGGGGUAAAGGCCCACCAAGGCGACGAUCCGUAGCUGGUCUGAGAGGAUGAUCAGCCACACUGGAACUGAGACACGGUCCAGACUCCUACGGGAGGCAGCAGUGGGGAAUAUUGGACAAUGGGCGCAAGCCUGAUCCAGCCAUACCGCGUGGGUGAAGAAGGCCUUCGGGUUGUAAAGCCCUUUUGUUGGGAAAGAAAAGCAGCAGGUUAAUACCCCGCUGUUCUGACGGUACCCAAAGAAUAAGCACCGGCUAACUUCGUG